GAUGAACGCUGGCGGCGUGCCUAAUACAUGCAAGUCGAGCGAACAGAUGAGGAGCUUGCUCCUCUGACGUUAGCGGCGGACGGGUGAGUAACACGUGGAUAAACUACCUAUAAGACUGGGAUAAUUUCGGGAAAACGGAGCUAAUACCGGAUAAUAUAUUGAACCGCAUGGUUCAAUAGUGAAAGACGGUUUUGCUGUCACUUAUAGAUGGAUCCGCGCCGCAUUAGCUAGUUGGUAAGGUAACGGCUUACCAAGGCAACGAUGCGUAGCCGACCUGAGAGGGUGAUCGGCCACACUGGAACUGAGACACGGACCAGACUCCUACGGGAGGCAGCAGUAGGGAAUCUUCCGCAAUGGGCGAAAGCCUGACGGAACGACGCCGCGUGAGUGAUGAAGAUCUUCGGAUCGUAAAACUCUGUUAUUAGGGAAGAACAAAUGUGUAAGUAACUAUGCACGUCUUGACGGUACCUAAUCAGAAAGCCACGGCUAACUACGUG
rnacentral:rRNA from 1 species